CACACCCGUUUGAGUGUCGUGAAAAUCUCAACCUUCUCGGUUUCUUCUGGACACCGAAGGAGGCUUGGACUUUGGAGGCUUUUGCUGGCGUAUCUCCCAGCUCCUCUCAAACGAAUUAGCGGGGUCCUCUUUGCCGAUCCUCGACAUGUGAUAAGAUGUUUCCAUGUCUUGGUUUAUGGCUCUGUUGCCUUUGGGACCCGCUUCUAGCCGUCUCACCGAGACAAUGUCCGAGCGUGUCUCCCUUCUCGGGAAACCCUCUCAGACCCACGAACCCUUGACCUCAAAUCGGGUGAGACUACCCGCUGAACUUAAGCAUAUCAAUAAGCGGAGG
rnacentral:rRNA from 1 species